AACCAACCAAGAGCCGUCACGCC
rnacentral:siRNA from 1 species